UGCUCUCUUUUUAUCGAUCGAUUCACUUACCCCUUGAGAGAUCUAUCUUAUCUAAGUGCAGAUCAAAGAAACAUGAACAUAGUCCUUCCAAAGAAUACAAGAAAGACAAAACAGACAACAAAUAUCAAACAACCAAUGAUGGACAGCAGGAGUAAGCCAAACAUGCAUACCAAAUAGAUGUUAACAUAUGGACGAGACAAUCAAACAGGAAGGGUCUUACUAUUCAUGGCAGAUGUUAACAUGUGGAGGAGACAAUCAUACAUGAAGGAUCUUCAUUAUUGGAUAAUGCUUGAAUGCACCGAGUUUCUCUUUGUCUUUUCUCCUUUCGCCCUUUGGAAUCACCAGAGUACCCAUUCCUCAACGUGUAUGAGUGUACGAGGGUACUUUUAGUCAUAAAUCUAUAAAUACCAA